rnacentral:rRNA from 1 species
UACGUAGGGUGCAAGCGUUGUCCGGAAUUAUUGGGCGUAAAGAGCUUGUAGGCGGUUUGUCGCGUCUGCUGUGAAAUUUCGGGGCUCAACCCCGAACUGCAGUGGGUACGGGCAGACUAGAGUGUGGUAGGCGAGUGGAAUUCCUGGUGAGCGGUGGAAUGCGCAGAUAUCAGGAGGAACACCGAUAGCGAAGGCAGCUCGCUGGGACGGUACUGACGCUGAGGCGCGAAAGCGUGGGGAGCGAACAGG